rnacentral:tRNA from 1 species
GCGGCGGUCGUCUAGCCUGGACUAGGACACCUGCCUGCCGAGCAGGUAAUCCCGGGUUCAAAUCCCGGCCGCCGCACCA